UACGUAGGGUGCGAGCGUUGUCCGGAAUUAUUGGGCGUAAAGGGCUCGUAGGCGGUUUGUCACGUCGGGAGUGAAAACUCAGGGCUUAACCCUGAGCCUGCUUCCGAUACGGGCAGACUAGAGGUAUGCAGGGGAGGACGGAAUUCCUGGUGUAGCGGUGAAAUGCGCAGAUAUCAGGAGGAACACCGGUGGCGAAGGCGGUUCUCUGGGCAUUACCUGACGCUGAGGAGCGAAAGUGUGGGGAGCGAACAGG
rnacentral:rRNA from 1 species